rnacentral:rRNA from 1 species
GACGAACGCUGGCGGCGUGCCUAAUACAUGCAAGUCGAGCGAGCGGCGGACGGGUGAGUAAUGUCUGGGAAACUGCCUGUUGGAGGGGGAUAACUACUGGAAACGGUAGCUAAUACCGCAUACCAUCAGAUGUGCCCAGAUGGGAUUAGCUAGUCGGUGGGGUAACGGCUCACCUAGGCGACGGUCCCUAGCUGGUCUGAGAGGAUGACCAGUCACACUGGAACUGAGACACGGUCCAGACUCCUACGGGAGGCAGCAGGGGGGAAUAUUGCACAAUGGGCGCAAGCCUGAUGCAGCCAUGCCGCGUGUGUGAAGAAGGCCUUCGGGUUGUAAAGCACUUUCAGCGGGGAGGCGUUACCCGCAGAAGAAGCACCGGCUAACUCCGUGCCAGCAGCCGCGGUAAUAC